AGUGAACGCUGGCGGUAGGCCUAACACAUGCAAGUCGGACGGUAGCACAGAGAGCUUGCUCUCGGGUGACGAGUGGCGGACGGGUGAGUAAUGUCUGGGGAUCUGCCCGAUAGAGGGGGAUAACCACUGGAAACGGUGGCUAAUACCGCAUAACGUCGCAAGACCAAAGAGGGGGACCUUCGGGCCUCUCACUAUCGGAUGAACCCAGAUGGGAUUAGCUAGUAGGCGGGGUAACGGCCCACCUAGGCGACGAUCCCUAGCCGGUCUGAGAGGAUGACCAGCCACACUGGAACUGAGACACGGUCCAGACUCCUACGGGAGGCAGCAGUGGGGAAUAUUGCACAAUGGGCGCAAGCCUGAUGCAGCCAUGCCGCGUGUAUGAAGAAGGCCUUCGGGUUGUAAAGUACUUUCAGCGGGGAGGAAGGCGAUGUGGUUAAUAACCGUAUCGAUUGACGUUACCCGCAGAAGAAGCACCGGCUAACUCCGUGCCAGCAGCCGCCGUAA
rnacentral:rRNA from 1 species